rnacentral:tRNA from 1 species
GAGCCAUUAGCUCAGUUGGUAGAGCAUCUGACUUUUAAUCAGAGGGUCGAAGGUUCAAUUCCCUUCAUGGCUCACCA